CUCAGCUGAGCCGAGCUGAGCUGGGCUGAGCUGAGUGAUGCAGCGUGGCACAGCAGGACCCAGAGCUGGCUUCCCCAGGGAUGAACACCAGCAUCCAGAGGCCCGCCAGGAUUUGUCAGGACUAAUUAGCAGAGUGCCAGCUGUGGUAGGAUUGGGUCCCACGGCACCUUCCGGUGGGGACUCCCCUGGAUCACUCUCCUGGAGAAUUGGGGAACAGCAGCCAGUGGCCAUGCUUUGGGCUAACUGGGCUGGGCUGGUCCAAAAGGGGAUGUAUUUGGUGCCUGAAUAAAUGGAGUUUUCUGUAACUCUAUUACAGCAAACAACAAAAUCUGUGAAGUUCCCAGGAUGUUUCUUUUCUCUGCUAAAGUGAUCUCUCUUCAGUUCAGCAAAAACCAUUAAAUUCCCAAAGGACACAGCUGGAAAUCAGGAAGGUGUGGGUGUGAAGAUGUGGGGUGUGGAAGGUGUCCCUGCUGUGGCACAGGCUUUGGGGCUGGAUGCUCCCUAAGGGCCCUUCCUCCCAAACCAGGCUGGGCUUCCUCGCCUCUGUGGCUCCAGACUUUUCCUGCUGCUGUGAAAUGAGCACUGGGCUCCUGUGGAAGCAGUUUCCAAACAAAGCCUUCCUGACCUGCAUUUAUACAGCCAAAGUCAUCCCUCAGAGAGCUCUGUGCUGUUCUGCUAUUAAAAACAGAGUCAUUAAGAGUAAUUAACUUCUGGGCAGCAACAGCAGAAUGUCCAGGACCCGUUUCCAGGGAUGUGGGUGCGGUGGCACUGCGGAGCUGCAGCUCUGCCCACCCCGGGGUGCCCUGGGCAGUGGGGCAGGCACAGAGCAGUCCCAGCGUGGUGCUGGCAGCGCUGGGCUCUGAGGACUGGGGCUGCUCCAGGGCUGCAGGAGGAGGAUGCCUGUGAGGUGAUACACGGAAUAAAUAACCAGACUCCAGGAGCUGGGGUAGCUCUGGAGUGGGUGUGUAUUGUCAGUGCUUGGCACAGGUGAGAUAUCUCCCCAAAAACUUGUGCCCCGAGCCUGGUCUGACCCACACCUUUAUUCCCAAGGUGUUCCAUGUGCAGCACAUUGCACAACUUUCCCUGCAUGUCCAACCCUGGCCUGGCCUGGCCUCUCGUGCUGAACAGCUCCAGCCCUUCUGGGCACGCCUGGUUUGCUGUGGUGGUCCUGAGGGGGUCCCUGGUGGUCUCUUGGGGCUGAAGAUCGUGGUCUUCCUCAUGGUUGAACUUUUGAAAUUUUCCUCUUUGUGCACUUUUGGUCCUCUGGUGCUUAUCUGAGCACGUCUGCCAGUCUCGAUGGGCUUGGACACACAGCAGCCUCUGUAUCUGGGUUCUUUGCCUCCUCUGGUAUUGUUCUUUGUGCAAGAAGCUUCAGUAACUUGCAUUUUCCUAUGCCCUUUGUACCACGGCAGAGGUUUCUUAAGUAAAA